rnacentral:lncRNA from 1 species
GUUACAAUGGCGAAUCCAGGGUUUAAGGUUUGAAUUUGUGGUUUGAUUUAUGUGUUUAGGAUUAUGAUUUGAGGUCAAGGAGAACCAAUUUAUGUUUUGGGUUUGAGGUUGAUCUGGGUAGUUUAAGGUAGUUUUGGGUAGGUUUAGGGUUUGGAGGAUGAAGGUCGGAGGUUGAAUAUGAAGUUUCAUCUUCAUCAUGAUGAACAUGAUGAAGAUUUAGGUUAGAGGUUGGAGGUUAUG